GCUCAGAACUCAAGGAAUUGACGGGGCCGCACAAGCGGUGGAGUAUGUGGUUUAAUUCGAUGCAACGCGAAGAACCUUACCUGGUCUUGACAUCCCGGAGACCCUUAGGAAACUAGGGGGUGCCUUUCCAUCUGGAAGAAUCUGGAGACAGGUGCUGCAUGGCUGUCGUCAGCUCGUGUCGUGAGAUGUUGGGUUAAGUCCCGCAACGAGCGCAACCCUUGCCUUUAGUUGCCAGCAGUUCGGCUGGGCACUCUAAAGGGACUGCCGGUGUUAAACCGGAGGAAGGUGGGGAUGACGUCAAGUCCUCAUGGCCUUUAUGACCAGGGCUACACACGUACUACAAUGGCCGAUACAAAGGGCAGCGACACUGCGAGGUGAAGCCAAUCCCGUAAAAUCGGUCUCAGUCCGGAUUGGAGUCUGCAACUCGACUCCAUGAAGUUGGAAUCGCUAGUAAUCGUGGAUCAGCAUGCCACGGUGAAUACGUUCCCGGGCCUU
rnacentral:rRNA from 1 species